rnacentral:lncRNA from 1 species
CUACACAGUACGUGCAGACCAACUGUUAAGUCGACAUUUGUUCAUUCUUUUCGUUAGGAAAGAUGAAGAAUUAUGAUAAGAUUUACAGUUUAUUAUUCGUGCUCCAAGCCCUUCAAAUUCAGUUCCAAAGUUUUAUGGAAGAACGACCGGAGCUUUCAAAGGAUAAAUACGUGUACGAGGGUUACAGUGCUGGACUGAUGGACCAAGGGUUAAUGGAAUCGGAGGCCUUGCUGGAGUUGACAGAGAUGGAGGAACAGUCUGUUGAGCUUGAAGAAAACCUUAAUACAACAAUAAAAGAGAUUUUGACACCUGGGAACACAUCUGAAUGGCUGAUGGCUGCUCGUAGUCUACAGAUACAGUUGAAUCUUCUGCAAACGGAGAUAAGAGAUGCAGUCAACAACCUGAAAGGUACAUCAAAAGGGAAAUCCCCGAGACACCUCCACAAGGCGCUGCUGAAACAAAUUCAGAAGGACCAGGUGAUAUCAAGAUACCCACGUCGUUUCAACUCUUGUCCUGACAUCCCAGCAGUACUUGAAGGAUCUGGUUCUUUAACUAAGUCCAUGAGCAAGAACCAUAGCUUAGAUUUCAAGGAGUCUUUUAAAAUUACCUUAAGUGAAAUUUCAAAGAAAAUCCACACACUCAUACUAAAAAACAAACAGCUGCACAAAUGUCUGCACAAACUUCCUGAACCUGAGGACCAAAGACCAUCAACCUUCUUUCCACCCCAUGGUGCAGAACCACAUAGAUCUGAGUCCAAUGCUCCUUACUCCUCAGACACCAGUGAGACAGAACAAGAUAACACUUGGAACCAAAAACAAGCUGGAUCUUCUUCAUUGUACCUGCAGGCUGCAGCACAUAGACUUCGAGUUCUAUUUACAUCUAAUACUACUGCCAGUACUAUCGGUAACAGCUCAGUACAUAAUGGAGGACAGAACCAUUCACUUACCAUGCAUAGAAGAAACCUAAGACAACACUGGAAUGUCAAAUGAAUCCCUUAUUCUCAAAUGUUUGCACGAGUAAACAAUGAACCCUUCAAUCCAGAAGUGAAGGAGGCAAUGAAAACGAAGGUGCCUACCACAAGAGUUCAAGUCUGUGCUUCACUUGCACCCAGUGACAGUUCAUCAUAUGUUUCAGUUGAUUUAAGUACAUGUAAGCACUGAUAGAUGCACUGAUGCUGAUGAUCAUAUCAAUGAAUGAUGCAUCUCUGGGAGAAUAAUGUGAAUUUGGACAUCAAAUGUCGAUAAUGUAGAUAAGUUACAAAGGAUAAUAACAGAAUAGUUUUAAAGGCAGUUUUGAGAUUAUCAUAGCAAAGGGGUUGUUUUGUAAAUACCCAAAGAGAUAUAACAGAUGGUGAGUUUUAGGGUUGUAAAGUCUGAGGGAAAGAUGAGAUGAAGGCAAGUUAUUACCAAAAAAUUGCCUAACCAAAAUAAGAAAAUAAUGAGGAUUGUUCAGGAGGUGCACAAUGUAAUAUGUUUUCAUGUAACUGUAUAUAUAUUGUAUAUGUGUGUGUAUUUUAAUUAUAUAACAAGUAAUCAAUGAAUCAAUGUCUUAUUACAAACAUAAAUCAAUGUCUCUGUCAUCAUCAGAUUCUUAUGUCGAUAUUCAUUUAAUAUAUUUCUUAAUUAUUUGAUAGUGGUUUUUGAAAACACAACUAUCCAAAUGUCUUUGAUUUUUGAACAUGUUAUCAACACCUCAUGGUCUAUUAAAUCAGUUGUUCAGAGUUAUUUUAAGUUUUUGUUCAUAUAUAAUUUACAUUUAUUCAGUGUUUUAAUAUCAUUGUCUCUAUGUGAAGAAUUUUAUUACCCCACUCGUCUUACCUAAUGUAAGUAAGGCAAUAAGAUAAAAUAUCUCAAUGUGUUCAAUUAGUUAACAUUAAAUUGUCAUUCUCAAGAACUGCUUUAUUUACAAUCAACAUGAUGUACUUACCUUACUGACCUUAGACCAUAAUAUUGAGUUAUGUUUAUCACUUUUUGAGAUCUUAGCAUUUUUGUAACUUUUGUAUUGUGAGUAUUGUGAUUUCAAUUUUGACCUAGCAUAGCCUGUCAUUGCUGCUCCCUGCUUGCUUUCUUUUGCUUAAUUAAAUAAAAUACAUAAUUUGACAUGUAAAUGAAAAUCUAUUUUCUUUUCUC